rnacentral:rRNA from 1 species
GUAGGGAAUAUUGGGCAAUGGUCGGAAGACUGACCCAGCCAUGCCGCGUGCAGGAAGACGGCCCUCUGGGUUGUAAACUGCUUUUAUCUGGGAAGAAAAAGGCCAUGCGUGGCAAAUUGCCGGUACCAAAUGAAUAAGCACCGGCUAACUCCGUGCCAGCAGCCGCGGUAAUACGGAGGGUGCGAGCGUUGUCCGGAUUUAUUGGGUUUAAAGGGUGCGUAGGCGGCUGAUUAAGUCAGCGGUGAAAGACUUCGGCUUAACCGGAGCAGUGCCGUUGAUACUGGUUGGCUUGAGUGUGGGAGGGGUACAUGGAAUUGAUGGUGUAGCGGUGAAAUGCAUAGAUACCAUCAGGAACACCGAUAGCGAAGGCAUUGUACUGGCCGACAACUGACGCUGAUGCACGAAAGUGUGGGGAUCGAACAGGAUUAGAUACCCUUGUAGUCC